rnacentral:ncRNA from 1 species
UGGGUGCGGCAAACAGCCGCUUGAAAGGGAAGACCCGGUGAGAAUCCGGCACAGGCUUACCCCUACUGUAUGUACGGACGACGAGCAACAGGCCAUUGCCAUCUGGCGAGAAGGCGCUCAAAGGAGGAUGUACGAGUCAGGAGACCUGCCCAAACACC